rnacentral:lncRNA from 1 species
AUGCCUGUGGUCCCAGCUACUUGAGAGGCUAAGGUGGGAGGAUCACUUGAGCCUGGGAGAUCAAGGCUGCAGUGAGCUGUGAUUACCCCACUGCACUCCAGUCUGGGCGACAGAAUGAGACCCUGUUUCAAAAAACAAACAAAAAAAGUCCUUAGAACAGUACAGAACAGUACAGUUAGUUAUUAAUAGGAUGAUGGUGUUGGUGCUAAUUGUCCUCCUGUCCUGGCGUGGGAGAAGAAGUCCGUGGACAAGGCUUACUUGGAACAGGAGCUCUGGUUGGUGUUUUACGAUUUCUCUGUGGUCCCUGGGAAGAAGGACCUUCCCCAGCUCCUCCUCCCACACCCCAAAGUCAGAGCUGGUGGAAACAGGAAGGGGUGUCGAGAGCUGGGGCUGGCCCUACCCACCCGCAAGGACUUUUGUUCGGCUUCUCCUAGGGUGACCUUGGACCCCUGGGCACUCCUGGGGAGCAGGGCCUCAUUGGGCAACGGGGAGAGCCAGGCCUUGAGGGUGACAGUGGCCCCAUGGGACCUGAUGGGCUGAAGGUAAGUGCCCUUUUAGGGCAGGGCCUGGGGACCCCGGCAGGGCAUUGCUUUCCCAUCCAAGACCUAAGUCUCCUCCCAGAAACACUGUGUUCCCAUAGAGAUCUGAGAUGACAGCUCCAGCUCCCAUUGACAGCAGCUUGGGGAAGGGUCAGCAGUGUCCAGCAGCCACCUCCCACCCUGCCCUCUGCACUACCUGCUCAGGUGGGACCAGGGCCAUCACCACCUUCCAGUCUUUCCUGCUACCCUUCUUAAAAUAUCAGCUUCUCUUGGCUAAGGGUGAUUCCUGAGCACCGGCACUACGCCAGGCCCAGAGCCAGAGUCUUUGGUCUCUGUUAUCUUCCAAAUAUUCUAGAAGGUCAGGAAAAUAAUAAUUACCACCAAUGACUUAUAAGCCACAAUUUAGGGAGGACUAGUCACACACAUACCAGGUACAACGCUAAGCCCUUUACCAGCUGGAUCCAUAGGACAACGGAAGUUCUGUCUUUAGAUGAGGAAACUGAGACUCAGAGUGGUGAAGCAACUUGCCCAAGGACACACCGCUAGCAACUGGCACAUCCAGGACCCAAAUCUGGGCCCGUUUGGCUCCAAAGCCUCUGCUCACUCUGCUGUACCAUGCACCCAUUCUAAAGGCGAAGAGGCUGAGGCUCAGAGGAAGGCAUAGAUACAUUCAGGACCUAUGGCUAUGAGUGAGGAUCCAAAAUUCAAACCCACGGCUCACAGGUGCCAAAGCCUGCUGGCCCAACUUGACCCUGCUGCUCCCUGAGAGACUCCUGUCAGCCACAAAUGUCAGGACUCUGAAGAGACACCUUAGCUCACCUGAAUUGCAGGUGGGCAGGCGGGCACCUCCCUCUGACUCUCCAGACCCAUCUCCAGGCCAGUCCCUGGCCUCCGUCUUGGGCCCCGCUCUGACCCCACAGGUGGGCUUUCCCCGAGGCUGGCCGGUCACCCUGUGCAAGUCAGCUCCCCAGCCCAGGUUCCUAAGGGCCAUGCCCUCUCGCCCACCUACUCUCCAGGUGACCUCAGAGAAGCAGACCCCUUCUCUGAACCUCAGUUUCCCCAUCCACAGGCUUCCGCCCACCCUCGUUACCCCCUCCCCACAGUCUCCCAGGGUGCCUUGGCGACCGGCCCCUGCUGACUCCUCACAUUUUCUUGCAAGAGCGAGAGCACCCCCUGUCUGUCAUCUGCCUGACUCCUCUCCCCCAACCCUGCUGCAUCCAAGCGUACAGCCGAGUCCCAAGACCCGGAGCAUUUGACAGCUGCUCCACACCCUUUGCCAGUGCCUGCUACACUGGGUGGUGAUGCUGAUGAAGGUCAUGGCUAAAAUGCUUUGGGCACUUGCCAUGUGCCCAGUGCCACCCACCCAAAGGGCUUUAUGUGAAUUAACCCAUUUAAUAAUUAAUGUUCCCAGCAACUCUCCCAAGCUUGAUACAUUACCAUCCUCACUAGACGGAUGAGGAAACUGAGGCACGAAGCAGCAGCCUUCUCACUCCACUCUGGGCGGCCACCUUUCUUCUUGGAAAGUCCACUGAGGUGGGCGGGAGGGGGUCUUCCAGCCUGGGUGCCUCAUGCAGUCUUCUGCCUCCACCUUGCAUGGCUUUUUGGCCCUGACUUCAUCCUCUUCCCCUCCCUUCAAAGCCAAUUCUACCUGAGUCCUUGUGCUCAAAUGCACAGCAUCUUCCCUGGUCUUUACAUGAAUCCCAGGAGAGACCCAUUUUCUUAAGGUGUUUGUCCAGGAAUCACCCCUCAUGGUGAAAACUGCGUCUCGAAUAUGCACAGCACUUCAUAGUUUAUAGAGUGCUUUUACACCCGUUAUCUCUUCGCUGAUGUCCAGCUGACAGUGAUGAUGGUGGUGGUGACCAAUAAUAGUUAGCUUUUAUCCAGCAUUCACAUGCCAGACACACUGCUAAGCUAUUUACAUGGUUUAUCUCUUUCAAUCCUUGCAGUAAUCCUUUGAUCCUGAUUUUACAAACGAGGAAACUUGCCCAGGGUCACACAACUAUUCAGUAGCGGUAGCAAGAUUUGAACUUAGGCAGCAUAACCCGAGGGUUGAGGGAGGCAUCGUCCCCUGAGCAGAGAAUCUUGGAAUUAGAAGGAGCCAGAACCCCAGGUUCACACAGCACUGACUCACUCGGUGGUAUUAGGGAGUCUCCACCUGUCUGCACUUCAGUUGUCCCAUCUGUAACUGAAGAGGGUUAAGGAAGGUGACUUGCAAGGCUCCUCUGAGCACUGGCAGAUGUCUGAGGAUUUGGGGCAUCUCUAGGAACCCCCAGAGACUGUUCUGCAUGAGAUUCACAAGGACGCCCACCCCAGGGGUCCAGUUAGCCCCUGGAGUGUGGUCUUAGGCAGAGCCCAGGUGAGGGCCCUUUGUUGAAAACCCGACUAGCCACCUGGAACAGGCUGUCUGCCUCUGAGAGGAGAACAGGUGGCCAGGACGACAAGCCAGAAAUGGAAUCCCAGAGCCAGAGGAGUCUGCAGGAGAGUUAUUCAGGCCAGCCCCCUGUCUUCAUGCCAGGCUGUGCUUAGAAGCUGAGGCUCCCAGCAGGAAGGGAUCCGGGCACAACUUUGUGCCCAGAUCUGCUCUACAUUGGCCCACGCCUCAGCUCGGAGUCUUCUGCCUUUAUCUGUGCCAUCUCUGGACCGCUCCAUUGGAAAAUCUUCCCAACUGAACUAGAAACUGCCCCAGCAACUCCCUCACACCCACCUCCUGCCCCAGAGCUCAGGCCUCAGCAGGCCCAGCUUGAAGCAAUGAGCAAUCAUGAGUUGCUUUCUUGAGCCUCUCUUCUAGGCAGGGCCAAGCCCCAGGCUCCAGCUUCAUGCCCUCUGCUUCCUGUGCUCUCUCUCCUCUGGAUGCACACCAGUUUAUCAGUGUCCCUCGUAAACCUUGGCACUGGGGGACAGAACUGGUAAAGACACACUAUGCUUUUCCAAGCCUGCUCUUCUCGCCCAUCCCUUCCUGAUGGACGCCGCCCCUCAGCAGCCAUGCCCGUGCUGCACUCCACACCUGCUCUGCUCACGGUGAUGAGGGUGACAGCCCACGCCCCAUCCUGGAAUCCUGCAUGCCCCAUCCUGGAACCCCACCUGCCCCCAAUCUCUCUCAGAGUACGCAAAGAUUACCGUGAUGAGAUAAGGCAAGCUUAGAGUGACACUGAUUGCUUCAAAACCAUAAAAAGCCCAUGCCAGCCUGGUGCAGUGGCUCACACCUGUAAUCCCAGCACUUUGGAAGGCCAAAGUGAGUGGAUCAUCUGAGGUCAGGAGUUCGAGACCAGCCUAGCCAACAUGGUGAAACCCUGUCUCUACUAAAAAUACAAAAAUUAGCCAGGCAUGGUGGCGCGUGCCUGCAGUCCCAGCUAGUUGGGAGGCGGGGGCACUUGAACCUGGGAGGUGGAGGUUGCAGUGAGUUGAGAUCAUGCCACUGCACUCCAGCCUGGGCAACAGAAUGAGAUCCGUCU